rnacentral:rRNA from 1 species
AAUCAACGCUGGCGGCGUGCCUAACACAUGCAAGUCGCACGAGAAAGUGGAGCAAUCCAUGAGUAAAGUGGCGCACGGGUGAGUAACACGUGAAUUAUCUACCUUCGAGUGGGGAAUAACUGAGAGAAAUCUUAGCUAAUACCGCAUAAUACCUACGGGUCAAAGCAGCAAUGCGCUUGAAGAGGAGUUCGCGGCAGAUUAGUUAGUUGGCAGGGUAAUGGCCUACCAAGACGAUGAUCUGUAUCCGGCCUGAGAGGGCGCACGGACACACUGGAAC